ACACACAGACAUACACACACAGACACCUGCUGCUGUUGAGUUCAAGGACAAUCUGAAAAAACAAACCUCCCUUUCAAGCAAUCAAGAAUGUGUAAAAACAAGUGUGUUUUUCUCUCUCUAAUACACAACAAAUGUCUGUAAAUUGUCAUUUAUCAUAAUUUAAACAAGCUCAAGAUCAUAUCAACUUUUGUUGUUGUAACUUUUGUGGAAGUAACACCUUUAAAAACCGUUGCUGCAACACAAUAUAUACGUUGUAAUACACCCGUCUGCUACAGGGGGCAAACAUCAUCUACAAACAUGCUCCACUCAUGUUUUGUCAGCCAGAUUUAUUACCACAACACGGGAGAGACUUGUUUGACAUCGGCUUGUUUGUCGUUUCUAAUGAAGACGGCUUUUCAAAUAAAGACGAGGACAUUAAGCCCAAAUAAACCCAAAUAAACCCGAAUAUAUCCCGUAAAGUUAUUGAAGACGAUUAAAGGCCGUCUGGCGUUAAUAUUUAACCAAUGUGAAAAAAAAACGAAACUAAUAAAUAAUGAAAAUAAUAAUAAUAAUAUAGUGUGUUGAAAAGAUCGUGAAAAAAUAAAUAAUAUAUGUUGAAAAUUAUUACGCGAAAAUUAUAAUAAAGCGUGUUUAAAAAAAAUCAUGAAAAUAGUCAUUCGUAAAAAAAAGUUAUUACAAAAAUGUUAAGUAUUUCAAAGGAAUAAUUAACUAUAGAAUUGUUUGUGAACAACAAUUAUUGAUUUUUUAUUAUUAUCAGUGGAUGAAUCUACCGGCCUAACCCAGGCGACACCAAAACAGGAAGUGAUGUCACACCGGUCCGAUUGAGGUAACAACGAAAUAUUGGAAAUAGUGUGCAUCACUGUACAUGUUUGAGCAUGUGCGUGUCUAACAUGCAGCUUUUAGGGAUCAAAAAUCAAAAAUUAUGUUUUUUUAUUAAGAAGUUUGAACAAAAAUUUUAGAAAUUAAAAACAUGACACGCACACGCACGCGCGCGCACACACACACACACGCACGCACGCACGAAUAAAGGUCACGUGCGGCAGAACAAUGGCAGGUCGGCUGGAGGGUUCAGGGUGACACGAGCUGUCACUCUCACAGGACUACAGUUCCCAUGAGCCUCACCUGGUGCCCGUGGCUUGUCACAAUAAAGGUUAUACAUUUCGAAACGUGUCUUUAAGUAAUACAACACUAGCUUGCACAUAAAAGACCAUAAAAUGACCAUUAACGAAGAUUAAAUGACCCAUUAAUGACCAUAACAUGACCAUUAAAUGACCAUAAAUGAACAUUAAAUUACCAUAAAUUACCAUUAAAUGACCAUAAAUGAACAUUUUCAUCUAAAUACAUUCACAAUAAAUGUGGAAUUUCACAAUAAAAUGACCAAGGUUAAAUAAUGUCAACACCCUGGAGGAGGAAACACGCCACACUCCGGAAAAAAAGUCCUCAUUCAGCCCUGCGUGGUAUUCAGGGACGUUUCUACUUUAGAGAAAAACCGGAAACGUGUCGUAGUCACUGAGUGCAGAAUGUAACUUUAACCCCAAAACACCUUCCACCUUUAGAGCUUCCAUUGCCGCCUUUCUACCAGAAUGCAACGCGGCUGGUGUCGCAAGACGUGACACGCGCGCCACAAAACUGAUACAAUGUCCUCAAAAAGAAAGAUAAAAGAGCCCUGGCGGUGUCGCGUGAAGUGAUUCACCUGACACGCAAAAGGUGGAGCAGUCCCCCUCAUCGGGCCGUACCAACACAGGCUCGCGGAGGGGUGUCGCUCACCUGAUGAAGGUGGUUUUCCCUGUGGAGUACUGGCCCACCAGCAGCACCAUGGGCUUGCUCUGGAAGUCCGCGGCCUCCAGCGCCGGGGAGUGGAAGUCGUGGAAGAGGUCAUUCUGAGCUCUUGCCACCAUCAUCAUCAUCAUCAUCAUCACCAUGGCUCUGUGUCCUGUAGCGCCCCCGGCUGGAAGAGGCCUAUCUAUACCACGUGCUGUACUGCAGGUUAAACGCCUCAUAUCUGUCUCCUAAUAAACUUUAUUCACACGGUUUUAUAGUUUAUUAUAAUUUUUUUCACAAAAUAUGUUUAUUUGAUUUUCUUUUUUUUCACUUCAAGAAAGAACAAGUUACAAAUACAGUAAACAUAAGAAACAUGCUACCAGACAAUCAUAAAAUAAUGAUAAAAAUAAAAUAAAUUAUAUAAAAUGACUCAAUACUGGAUGGCACACUCAUUGGUACAUUUGCAAGGGGUAUUUAGACAGGCGGUUGCUCAGAGAUUGUACAGGGGUAAUGACUGUAAGGUCACUUUAGAGCCCUAAUAAAUUGAGGGCCCUUUACAAAGUCCUAGAAGGAAGUCCACAUCUCUUCAAACUGUGCAUAUUUUCCUUUCAGUGAGUAUGUUAUUUUUUCCAUCGCUAUAACUUGUACAAUGUCCUCUAGCCAGCCUUUGGUAGUCGGCUUCUGUAUAGAUUUCCAACAUUUUGCAAUAGUCCGUCUGGCUUGCUGUAGGCAUAGGGUAACCAUCUUUAUGUUAGCUCUGCUGAGAUUAAUGUCCUUUGGUAUGAGUCCCAAAACACACAUUCUUUGGCACAUAGGGAGAACCACCUUGAUGUGUUUGAGAGUGUCUCAACAACCAUCCUCAAAAAUUCCUGUACUUUUUUAACAGGACCAUAAAUGAUGGAAAGGCGUGGAGGUCUUGAUCGUGGAAUAUGCGUACGACCAACUAUUCAUACUCUCUGUCAGAUUCAUUGAUUGUGUUGUGACUGUGUUUUAAUUUGUGUAUAAUGAUUCAUUCUGUACACAUGGCAUCUCUUGCUUCUGUCCAUCCUGGAGAGGGAUCCUCCUCUGUUGCUCUCCUGAAGGUUUCUUCCCUUUUUUCCCCGUGAAGGGUUGUUUGGGAGUUUUUCCUGAUCCGAUGUGAGGUUUUGGGACAAGGAUGUCUAUGUGUACAGAUUGUAAAGCACUCUGAGAUGAAUUUCUCAUUUGUGAAAAUGGGUUAUACAAAUAAACGUGAUACAUGACA